rnacentral:tRNA from 1 species
GCCUGGGUGGCUCAGUUGGUUGAGCACCUGACUCUUGAUUUCAGCUCAGGUCAUGAUCUCAGGGUCAUGGGAUCAAACCCCAUGUCCGGCU